CUCAAUCAAGAGUGUUAAUGGUCUGUUUGAGAGAUAGGUGGUGGUAAUGCACUUAUAAGUCUGCGAUCCACUAUAAAGCAAGCAAGAAGAAGAUCGUUUUGUGUCUUUACACAUCAAUGUAUCGUCACAAGCCGCAGGAUUUAAUUUGGAUUUUUCUGUGCAUGUUUUUUUUUUCUCUCAUUGAUUCUGUGACCAUUGCCAUGCAUUGUACUGCUGAGAGACUGCAACGACUGAAGCUAAAAAUCAUCAUUUGUGUUCUACUGAAGAAACAAAGUCACCUGCAUCUUGGAUGCCCUGGGGGUCACCUUAGCCACCAGAUCCAGUCUGUAUCCAGAUCAGAGGGUCACUGCAGUCACCCGGAUCCAGUACGUAUCCAGACCAGAUGGUGGAUCGGCACCUAGAAAGGAUCUCUACAGUCCUGAAAGACAGCGGAGACCAGGACAACUAGAGCUCCAGAGACAGAUCCCCUGUAAAGACCUUGUCUCAGACGGCCACCGGGACAAAACAGAUGAUUCUUCUGCACAAUCUGACUUUGCUGCAGCCUGGAAUUGAACUGCUGGUUUCAUCUGGCCAGAGGAGAACUGGCCCCCCGACUGAGCCUGGUUUCUCCCAAGGUUUUUUCUCCAUUCUGUCACCGAUGGAGUUUUGGUUCCUUGCCGCUGUUGCCUCUGACUUGCUUAGUUGGGGACACUUCAUUUACAGCGAUAUCAUUGACUUGAUUGCAAAUGAUUGCACGGAUAAUAUUUAAACUGAACUGAGCUGAAUGAUGACAUCACUGAAUUCAAUGAUGAAC
ensembl:lncRNA